GGUGAACGCUGGCGGCGUGCCUAAUACAUGCAAGUCGAGCGAACGGACGAGAAGCUCUUUUCCCUGAGGUUAGCGGCGGACGGGUGGGUAACACGUCGAUAACCAACCUAUUAGACUGGGGUAACUACGGGAAACCACAGCUAAUAACACCUAAUAAUAUCAACAGCAUGAUUCAAAAGUGAUACACGCUUUUGCUGUUACUUAUAGAUGGUGCCGCGCUGCAUUAGCUAGUUGGUAAGGUAACGGCUUACCAAGGCAACGAUGCAUAGCCGACCUGAGAGGGUGAUCGGCCACACUGGAACUGAGACACGGUCCAGACUCCUACGGGAGGCAGCAGUAGGGAAUCUUCCGCAAUGGGCGAAAGCCUGACGGAGCAACGCCGCGUGAGUGAUGAAGGUCUUCGGAUCGUAAAGCUCUGUUAUUAGGGAAGAACAUAUGUGUAAGUAACUGUGCACGUCUUGACGGUACCUAAUCAGAAAGCCACGGCUAACUACGUG
rnacentral:rRNA from 1 species